AAAGAAUAGUGAUGUGCUGGCAUUUUUGUAAUUUUCUGUUAUUUGGAGGUUGAUUUUUGAAACUAUUGAUUUAUCUCACCUCUUUCUCCUCAUAGCCGAUCAGAUUUCUUUUUCUCCCUUUCUACUUUCUAUGGUUUCUCUCUUUUGAAAUUCUACUCCAAGAAAUCAAAUCUUCUUCAAAUGAUCGGUGCAAAGUCAGAUCAAAAUCAACCCACUUGAGAAAGCCAAUACAGCAACAAAACCAAAGAAAAUCAUGUCUUGACUAGAGUUUGAGUGAGCUGCGGCUAGGUUUCUGGUGUUGAUGGUGCUGAUCGGAGGUGGCUUUCUUGGCUUCUGGUUAUCGGAGAAGGAUGGUAGACCAUGGGGAACGACGAGUCUUGGCUGAGUUAGAGCGAGUUGGGGCUGGGUUAAUUGGGUUGUUGUCUGCAAUUGACUGCUGAUUUACGGGUCGAGGCGAGGAUUAUGGGUCGACGAUUUGGAACGACGGUGAGGUGUAGUCGGACGGCUGAUUUUCAGAUUAUUCGCGAGAGAUUAGGAGAAAGGGAAGAAGAAGAGGGAAGAAUAGCGGUUAGGAUUUACUUACUGUUGCGAACAUGAAGUGCAGAGAGAGAUGAUCGAAAGUGUGAGUGGAGGAGAUGAGAAAAUGGAGAGAGCUAAGGGACAAGGGCAGUACAUUGCGAGGGAUUUUGACUCUCUAUUUUUAAUUGAUAAUAAUGGAAUAUAAUUGAUCUGGAUCAUGAUAUAGUGCAUGAAAUAUAGUUGGGCUUGAUGAUUAGUAUUGAGCAUUAAUCAUUUAUCUCUUGUCGCCUUGAGCUACAUAAAUUUGGUUAUAUAAACCUAACUAUAAAUAUAUAGCCCAAAAUUAUCAUGCAAAAUAUUCAAACAAACCACAUCUCAAAUCAAAAUCCUACCUUUUCAAUCACAAUGAGAGCCAUCACCCAUUUUAUAUGGUAGUAUUAUAUAUAUUUUGGGGAUAGUUUAGUUUAGUUUAGUUUUCUUACUUAUCUGAUGUGGGUCAGUUACUUGCUCUGCUCUCUUCUUUAUGUUUUGAGCAUAUACAAAUCUUCUUUAAUAUAAUAUUUCCUCUUAUAUAUAUAGAUUAUUCAAUCACAGCUUCUUAUUAAUUUGUUCUAAAAUCCAAUGAGAUUACAUGAAAUAUGCUCAAAUUUAUGAAUAUAACUGGGGAAUACAUAGCUACCUAUUGGGUUUGACCUAUUAAUUUUAAAUUGUUUAUUAGACACGUGCUCGUUCAGUGACAUCCACUUCUUCAAAAGUUGCAUAUUCUUCCACGGGAGUAGUGAGCACUAUCUUGCAUUUGAGUUGGGGUUCAUAUUAUUAAGUAGCAUUUUUUGAUACAUUAUUAAGUAGUAUUUUUUGAUAAAUACUUGACAUCCUUUUCUUUGUUGUGUAAUGAUGUUUAUUGGUUGAUAAAAAUUGACCCUGUUGCGCUAGCGUUUCGCGUUCUUUCUAUUUGAUCUGAGGCGGUGCUUCUGAAAAUGGCCAAGUAUUGUUUGAGUUCUUGGCAAAAUCUUUUACUUUUUGAUGUUGGUUGUGAGUAAAUUGUCUUGUAUUUUUCACUAGAUCGGAUUUGUUACUCUAGGAUUAGGACUUGGGUAAUUGCCUCUAGCCUUUAGGUUUUUUAAGGAUUUGUUACUUUGUGUUAUACAAAGAUUGUUAUUUUCGAUUUCUGGUUUUUGAAGAUUGCCCUCACGGUUCGCUUGUCUUUGCUCACAUCGAAUUUAUUUGCUGUAACACUUUCAUCGGUUUAUUGCACCUUCGGUAAUUCACUACCCUACUUUGUUCAAAAUAGUAUUUUUGUGCUUUAUUUUCUUUUCAUAUUUUGUUAUAUCACUGACUAAAUUACUGAAUUCUCAAUCGUGACUUUGGUCACGUUUUUUAGAUAUCUUGUUGUGGCAAAAAGAAGAUGAGUGCUUUCAAAGAAGGUUACCGAUGAGCUUUCUUUAUUUUUUUCCUUUUUUUGGGCUCAUUUGUAUUGGUUGCACACUUACCUUUAGUUUAUCGGUUCUAUGUCUUUGCUUUAGAGUAUGGUGCAUGGUAAUUUUAAUUCUUCUAUAAUACAUGUUGUGAGCUGUGUUAUCACACCUGCCAUGUAUUUCUCAAUUCUUUGUUGGUUAUAUUUGUUUUGGUGUGAAUUUAAUAUUAAAUCUCUAUUCAAAUGUCGUACACGGCCAUGUGACAACUUCAAAACGUUUACUUUUUAGUUUACCUCAUCCAUGUGUUAUGGCUAUGCCAAAUAUUUUUGGCCGUGAGUUUUCACCUGCUCUGACUACUCGGCCGAGAAGCAUGAGAUGUGUAUAAUUAUAUUUGUUGUGUGUAUAGAUUUGCACAAUUCAAUUUAUCAUUAUGUGAGAUUGUUUAGUAAGUGUUGUUGCUAUUAAUAUUUUUAUUAACUGUGGUUUGUAAUUUUUAAAUAAGACAGUGAUAAAAAGAAAGAUGUGUGUUGUUGUUGUUGACACUGGUGGGUGUUCCAAUCUCAUAGGUGGGCUGCAUGAUCUAGGUUGCCGUUACAUGAAUGUGCUGGCACUUGUUGCGAAAUAUGGACUUCGAGGUAUUUUUCUCACAAUGACUUGUAAUCCAAAGUGAGUGGAAAUUCAAAGUUGAUCAUUUCCUAUUGAAAACAGUCAUAAUAGAGUUGAUUAGCAUGCAAGAGUUUUCAGAGCAAAAAUUGAGUA